AGAGGUUGAUCCUGGCUCAGAGUGAACGCUGGCGGCGUGCUUAACACAUGCAAGUCGAACGGUAACAGAGCUAGCUUGCUAGCUGCUGACGAGUGGCGCACGGGUGAGUAAUAUAUAGGUAACGUGCCCUUCAGUCCGGGAUAGCCACUGGAAACGGUGAUUAAUACCGGAUAUUCCCCUUCGGGGGGAAAGGUUUUUCGCUGAGGGAUCGGCCUAUUUCGUAUCAGCUUGUUGGUGAGGUAAGAGCUCACCAAGGCGAUGACACGUAGCGGGUUUGAGAGGAUGAUCCGCCACACUGGUACUGAGACACGGACCAGACUCCUACGGGAGGCAGCAGUGAGGAAUAUUGCACAAUGGGGGAAACCCUGAUGCAGCAACGCCGCGUGGAGGAUGACGCAUUUCGGUGUGUAAACUCCUUUUAUCAGGGAAGAAGAUGACGGUACCUGAUGAAUAAGCUCCGGCUAACUCCGUGCCAGCAGCCGCGGUAAUACGGAGGGAGCAAGCGUUACUCGGAAUCACUGGGCGUAAAGGACGCGUAGGCGGGUGAUUAAGUCAGGUGUGAAAUCCAAUGGCUCAACCAUUGAACUGCACUUGAAACUGGUCACCUAGAGUAUGGAAGGGGCAGAUGGAAUUAGUGGUGUAGGGGUAAAAUCCGUAGAUAUCACUAGGAAUACCGAAAGCGAAGGCGAUCUGCUGGGACAUAACUGACGCUGAGGCGUGAAAGCGUGGGGAGCAAACAGGAUUAGAUACCCUGGUAGUCCACGCCCUAAACGAUGAAUGCUAGUCGUCGGGGCUCUUGUAGUUCCGGUGAUGCACCUAACGGAUUAAGCAUUCCGCCUGGGGAGUACGGUCGCAAGAUUAAAACUCAAAGGAAUAGACGGGGACCCGCACAAGUGGUGGAGCAUGUGGUUUAAUUCGAAGAUACACGAAGAACCUUACCUGGCCUUGACAUUGAUAGAAUCUGCUAGAGAUAGCGGAGUGCUAGUUUACUAGAGCUUGAAAACAGGUGCUGCACGGCUGUCGUCAGCUCGUGUCGUGAGAUGUUGGGUUAAGUCCCGCAACGAGCGCAACCCUCGUCCUUAGUUGCUAGCAGUUCGGCUGAGCACUCUAAGGAGACUGCCUUCGUAAGGAGGAGGAAGGUGAGGACGACGUCAAGUCAUCAUGGCCCUUAUGGCCAGGGCUACACACGUGCUACAAUGGGGCGUACAGAGUGUUGCGAUACCGCGAGGUGGAGCUAAUCACUUAAAGCGUCUCUCAGUUCGGAUUGGAGUCUGCAACUCGACUCCAUGAAGCUGGAAUCACUAGUAAUCGUAGAUCAGCAAUGCUACGGUGAAUACGUUCCCGGGUCUUGUACUCACCGCCCGUCACACCAUGGGAGUUGAUUUCACCCGAAAUCGGGAAGCGAACCUUCGGGGCGCUACCGCUUACGGUGGAAUUAGCGACUGGGGUGAAGUCGUAACAAGGUAACC
rnacentral:rRNA from 1 species